rnacentral:rRNA from 1 species
AUUGAACGCUGGCGGCAUGCCUUACACAUGCAAGUCGAACGGCAGCAUGAUCUCGCUUGCUAGAUUGAUGGCGAGUGGCGAACGGGUGAGUAAUACAUCGGAACGUGCCCUGUAGUGGGGGAUAACUAGUCGAAAGAUUAGCUAAUACCGCAUACGACCUGAGGGUGAAAGUGGGGGACCGCAAGGCCUCAUGCUAUAGGGGCGGCCGAUGUCUGAUUAGCUAGUUGGUGAGGUAAAGGCUCACCAAGGCGACGAUCAGUAGCUGGUCUGAGAGGACGAUCAGCCACACUGGGACUGAGACACGGCCCAGACUCCUACGGGAGGCAGCAGUGGGGAAUUUUGGACAAUGGGCGAAAGCCUGAUCCAGCAAUGCCGCGUGUGUGAAGAAGGCCUUCGGGUUGUAAAGCACUUUUGUCCGGAAAGAAAUGGAUCUGGUUAAUACCUGGGGUCGAUGACGGUACCGGAAGAAUAAGGACCGGCUAACUACGUG